rnacentral:rRNA from 1 species
CCGGUAAACGGCGGCCGUAACUAUAACGGUCCUAAGGUAGCGAAAUUCCUUGUCGGGUAAGUUCCGACCUGCACGAAUGGCGUAAUGAUGGCCAGGCUGUCUCCACCCGAGACUCAGUGAAAUUGAACUCGCUGUGAAGAUGCAGUGUACCCGCGGCAAGACGGAAAGACCCCGUGAACCUUUACUAUAGCUUGACACUGAACAUUGAGCCUUGAUGUGUAGGAUAGGUGGGAGGCUUUGAAGUGUGGACGCCAGUCUGCAUGGAGCCGACCUUGAAAUACCACCCUUUAAUGUUUGAUGUUCUAACGUUGACCCGUAAUCCGGGUUGCGGACAGUGUCUGGUGGGUAGUUUGACUGGGGCGGUCUCCUCCUAAAGAGUAACGGAGGAGCACGAAGGUUGGCUAAUCCUGGUCGGACAUCAGGAGGUUAGUGCAAUGGCAUAAGCCAGCUUGACUGCGAGCGUGACGGCGCGAGCAGGUGCGAAAGCAGGUCAUAGUGAUCCGGUGGUUCUGAAUGGAAGGGCCAUCGCUCAACGGAUAAAAGGUACUCCGGGGAUAACAGGCUGAUACCGCCCAAGAGUUCAUAUCGACGGCGGUGUUUGGCACCUCGAUGUCGGCUCAUCACAUCCUGGGGCUGAAGUAGGUCCCAAGGGUAUGGCUGUUCGCCAUUUAAAGUGGUACGCGAGCUGGGUUUAGAACGUCGUGAGACAGUUCGGUCCCUAUCUGCCGUGGGCGCUGGAGAACUGAGGGGGGCUGCUCCUAGUACGAGAGGACCGGAGUGGACGCAUCACUGGUGUUCGGGUUGUCAUGCCAAUGGCACUGCCCGGUAGCUAAAUGCGGAAGAGAUAAGUGCUGAAAGCAUCUAAGCACGAAACUUGCCCCGAGAUGAGUUCUCCCUGACUCCUUGAGAGUCCUGAAGGAACGUUGAAGACGACGACGUU